UAGGGAAUCUUCGGCAAUGGACGAAAGUCUGACCGAGCAACGCCGCGUGAGUGAAGAAGGUUUUCGGAUCGUAAAACUCUGUUGUUAGAGAAGAACAAGGACGUUAGUAACUGAACGUCCCCUGACGGUAUCUAACCAGAAAGCCACGGCUAACUACGUGCCAGCAGCCGCGGUAAUACGUAGGUGGCAAGCGUUGUCCGGAUUUAUUGGGCGUAAAGCGAGCGCAGGCGGUUUCUUAAGUCUGAUGUGAAAGCCCCCGGCUCAACCGGGGAGGGUCAUUGGAAACUGGGAGACUUGAGUGCAGAAGAGGAGAGUGGAAUUCCAUGUGUAGCGGUGAAAUGCGUAGAUAUAUGGAGGAACACCAGUGGAGAAGGCGGCUAUCUGGUCUGUAACUGACGCUGAGGCUCGAAAGCGUGGGGAGCAAACAGG
rnacentral:rRNA from 1 species